rnacentral:rRNA from 1 species
UACGUAGGGUGCGAGCGUUUGUCCGGAAUUACUGGGCGUAAAGAGCUCGUAGGUGGUUUGUCGCGUUGUCCGUGAAAACUCACAACUCAAUUGUGGGCGUGCGGGCGAUACGGGCAGACUAGAGUACUGCAGGGGAGACUGGAAGUUCCUGGUGUAGCGGUGGAAUGCGCAGAUAUCAGGAGGAACACCGGUGGCGAAGGCGGGUCUCUGGGCAGUAACUGACGCUGAGGCGCGAAAGCGUGGGGAGCAAACAGG